GACGAACACUGGCGGCGUGCCUAACACAUGCAAGUUGAGCGACGAACCAGGGCUUGCCCUGGGGCAAAGCAGCGAACGGGUGAGUAACACGUGGGUAACCUACCCCGAUAACCGGGACAACCCGAGGAAACUCGGGCUAAUACCGGAUGUGCUCACUGGACUUCGGUUCAGUGCGUAAAGGAAGCUUCGGCCUCCGUAUCGGGAGGGGCCCGCGGCCCAUUAGUUUGUUGGUGAGGUAACGGCUCACCAAGACCGCGAUGGGUAGCUGGUCUGAGAGGACGAUCAGCCACACUGGGACUGAGACACGGCCCAGACUCCUACGGGAGGCAGCAGUGGGGAAUCUUGCGCAAUGCGCGAAAGCGUGACGCAGCAACGCCGCGUGGGGGAAGAAGGCCUUCGGGUUGUAAACCCCUUUCAGGAGGGACGAAGGUUCGGCGGUGAAUAGCCGUCCGGACUGACGGUACCUCCACAAGAAGCCCCGGCUAACUACGUG
rnacentral:rRNA from 1 species